CCUACGGGUGACAGCAGUGAGGAAUAUUGGUCAAUGGACGCAAGUCUGAACCAGCCAUGUCGCGUGCAGGAAGAAGGCUCUAUGAGGUGUAAACUGCUUUUGUACGAGGGUAAACUCCGAUACGCGUAUCUCUCUGCAAGUAUCUUACGAAUAAGGAUCGGCUAACUCCGUGCCAGCAGCCGCGGUAAGACGGAGGAUUCAAGCGUUAUCCGGAUUUAUGGGGUUUAAAGGGUGCGUAGGCGGUCGGUUAAGGUAGAGGUGAAAUCCUGAGGCUCAACUACGGAAUUGCCUCUGAUACUGGUGGGCUAGAGAGUAGUUGCGGUAGGCGGAAUGUAUGGUGUAGCGGUGAAAUGCUUAGAGAUCAUACAGAACACCGAUUGCGAAGGCAGCUUACCAAGCUACGUCUGACGUUGAGGCACGAAAGCGUGGGGAGCAAACAGGAUUAGAUACCCCAGUAGUC
rnacentral:rRNA from 1 species